rnacentral:tRNA from 1 species
GCCUUUAUAGCUAGGUGGUAGAUCGUCAAUCUUGUAAACUGUAGGUCUGUAGUUCAAUUUUGCAUGGGGGCA